UACGGAGGGUGCAAGCAUUAAUCGGAUUUAUUGGGCGUAAAGGGCGCGUAGGCGGUAAUAUAAGUCAGAUGUGAAAUCCCGGGGCUCAACCCCGGAACAGCAUUUGAAACUAUAUUUCUAGAGGGUAGGCGGAGAAAACAGAAUUCCACAAGUAGCGGUGAAAUGCGUAGAUAUGUGGAAGAAUACCGGUGGCGAAGGCGGUUUUCUAGGUUAUUCCUGACGCUAAGGCGCGAAAGCAAGGGGAUCAAACAGG
rnacentral:rRNA from 1 species